CAGCACCCGAGCUGUCCCCAGGACCGCCCCCCCUCCCGGCGGCCCGUCCAGGUGAGCUGAGGGAGUGCUACUACAACCUGGCGGAGCGGGGCACCUGCAGCCUGCUGGCCACCAACACCAGCCGGCAGGAGUGCUGCUGCACGCUGGGCGAGGGCUGGGGGCUGGGCUGCCAGUUCCACACCUGCCCCCCCCCGCACACAGCCGAGUUUCUGUCUCUGUGUCCCAGUGGGAGAGGAUACGUUACUACUGGACCUGGAGCCUUCAGCUACACCGAUGUGGACGAGUGUAAGCGUUUCCAUCCAGAGGUGUGUAAGAACGGCGCGUGUGUCAACAACAUCCCCGGAUACCACUGCUACUGCCCUAGCGGAUACAUCUACAACAGCACGCUGCUGGAGUGUGUUG